rnacentral:rRNA from 1 species
UACGUAGGGGGCAAGCGUUAUCCGGAUUUACUGGGUGUAAAGGGAGCGUAGGUGGUGUGGUAAGUCAGGUGUGAAAGCCCGGGGCUCAACUCCGGGAUUGCACUUGAAACUAUCAUACUAGAGUGCAGGAGAGGUAAGUGGAAUUCCUAGUGUAGCGGUGAAAUGCGUAGAUAUUAGGAGGAACACCAGUGGCGAAGGCGGCUUACUGGACUGUAACUGACACUGAGGCUCGAAAGCGUGGGGAUCAAACAGG